rnacentral:rRNA from 1 species
UGGGGAAUAUUGCACAAUGGGCGCAAGCCUGAUGCAGCCAUGCCGCGUGUGUGAAGAAGGCCUUCGGGUUGUAAAGCACUUUCAGCGGGGAGGAAGGCGUUAAGGUUAAUAACCUUGGCGAUUGACGUUACCCGCAGAAGAAGCACCGGCUAACUCCGUGCCAGCAGCCGCGGUAAUACGGAGGGUGCAAGCGUUAAUCGGAAUUACUGGGCGUAAAGCGCACGCAGGCGGUCUGUCAAGUCGGAUGUGAAAUCCCCGGUCUCAACCUGGGAACUGCAUUCGAAACUGGCAGGCUAGAGUCUUGUAGAGGGGGGUAGAAUUCCAGGUGUAGCGGUGAAAUGCGUAGAGAUCUGGAGGAAUACCGGUGGCGAAGGCGGCCCCCUGGACAAAGACUGACGCUCAGGUGCGAAAGCGUGGGGAGCAAACAGG